UGGGGAAUAUUGGACAAUGGGCGAAAGCCUGAUCUAGCAAUGCCGCGUGAGUGAUGAAGGCCCUAGGGUUGUAAAGCUCUUUUACCCGGGAUGAUAAUGACAGUACCGGGAGAAUAAGCUCCGGCUAACUUCGUGCCAGCAGCCGCGGUAAUACGAGGGGAGCUAGCGUUGUUCGGAAUUACUGGGCGUAAAGCGCGCGUAGGCGGUUUUUUAAGUCAGAGGUGAAAGCCCGGGGCUCAACCCCGGAAUAGCCUUUGAAACUGGAAAACUAGAAUCUUGGAGAGGUCAGUGGAAUUCCGCGUGUAGAGGUGAAAUUCGUAGAUAUUCGGAAGAACACCAGUGGCGAAGGCGACUGACUGGACAAGUAUUGACGCUGAGGUGCGAAAGCGUGGGGAGCAAAC
rnacentral:rRNA from 1 species